AAGUCGUAACAAGGUUUCCGUAGGUGAACCUGCGGAAGGAUCAUUAUCACGUAUCCACGUAUCAACCAUUGUGAACGAGUGCCCCUCACACCUCUAGUCUUUUAGAUAGAGUGUUAUUUUAGAAUGUUUCUUUUUUUCGGUAAAACGAAAAAAAGAAGGAAAUAACGUUGAUUUGAAGGUUGUUUCUAGUUCUAAAUUAACCAACAGUCUUCACGGAUUGUAUGUCUAAAUUUCUGGAGUGUAUUUUCUUCAAAUCAUAUUUAUUUAUUAACCAUUUAAACCCAAUGAUAACAAUUCAAUUGAACUGAAUGAAUUUCUUACUCAAUUUAACAGUUGAGAAGAAAUUAAAGAUAUACGAAACAUAAGAACAACUCUUAGCAACGGAUAUCUUGGCUCUC
rnacentral:misc_RNA from 1 species